rnacentral:lncRNA from 1 species
UCAGAUAAAAGCAUCUAAGUGGAAAAUAUUAUUGAAAAUGAACACAGUUGCAUCAGGUAAAAACAAAUAAGCACAGCAACAAGGAAGGAGAGAAGAGUAACUAAUAAACUCCUAAGCACCAUAGGGAGGCCUAACAAUAGCACACUAAGCUUAAAAUUGGGUUAGAAACCCAUUCAAACCAAUACAUAGUUGCCCCUAAACGAAAACACAUUAUUUGUGCAUAACAUCUUAAUUAUUAUUUUCUUCCUCAUAUACAAGGGGAAGAAAAUUCAAAAGCUAAACUUAAUUGAAGAAACUAAGACUCCUCAUGAUGAUGCAUCUUGUUGGCAACAUUGCACUGCUUUCUGAUCUCACCUUGUGUGCCAGUGAGAGGGUUGUUUUCAGAGAGCAAGGUGAUAGCUCUUGAAAACUCCUUGAAGAAAUAGUCUUGGCUCUUAGCCAUUUUCUUGACAUAAGGCUUGGUCCUCUUAUCAGUGGCUAAUUGGUGAUCCACGACCAAAAGUCCCUUGUUGUCCAAGAUGUUCCUGUAAUAGUUGUUGUCUAAAACCAUGGGUGUGCCACGGUCAUUUCUCACGUACUGCACGGCCUUCGGGUCUGGAAUGGAGUCAGGGCACUUCUUAAGCAUGUGAGGAACAUGGUCUGGGUUGAUAACUGGGUCAACCUCUGGGUAUAAACGGUGCACCAACUUCACACAGUGUGUUCUACCAACACUGUGUGCUCCUGUUCAACACAACAAGAUCAAUAAUUAUGUAAGUUAAAAACUAUAAUUAAGACAUGUAUCAUGUAUGUAUAUGUUAUAAUGUUACACAUGUUAGUAUGUAUAAUGAAUCAUGUCAUGUUGACCCCACAUGUAUUUAUUGAAAGAGAAUAUGAUGGAUAAACUUUGGCAUUUUAAUCAAGGCCAUUCACGUGGGUAUGGGACGUUUUUGAAUUCAUGGCCAUCAUGAUAUUUUUUCAACGUCGACAAUACGGCACAAACAAACAACAUAAUUCAUGUCAACGGUGUUGCAGUGGGAAAGGAUCUCAUCACUGAAUCCAAUGACCAAUUUUAAUUUUUUAUAAUUAAUAUGACAUGUUUUUAUCAGUGCGGGAAUAGUAAUGAGCAGUUACCGAGCAAAGCAACAACGCCCGGGGUGUCAAUACCCAUGGCACCAAACUUGUGAAGAACAGAGGAAAUGGACUCAUUGUGGUCAGGGAGGUACUGUUCCACUACUUCAGCUCUGCUCCUUCUACCAUCCCUUCUUCCUGUUUUUAGAGCUAUAUGUGGACCUCCUAGCUGCAAGAAACAAACAUACCAAGUUAACAACACUCUUCAUUAACUAUAAUCUUAAGAUGGAUAAGGGAAUUACCGAAACAAUGCCAUCUCUGGCAGAAAGAACAAGGAUAUCAGCACAGGAAACAACUCCAGGGCACUCCCUUUCCACGGCUUCUUUAAUGGUCUCAAUGUACCUAAAGUUCCUCAGCCCAAAGCUCCUAUCAGUUUCCUUCUCAGACAAGCUCCUUCUUGUUGAAUCCAGCAACAGUGAAGCAUCACAUCUCUAACCUCAUCAAAAACAUUCUAGUAAUUAGUUAAAGGGACAGUAUAGCAAAUACUAAAAACUAAUGGAAGUCAAGGUUGGUGUUACCUGAACAGCACAAUCAUGGAAAAUGUUCCUGAGCCAGGAGAAAGCAGUGUUCUUGUGACGCUUGUAAAGAAGCUUCACUUGUUCUGUGAUAACUUCUUCAGCCUGAGGACAUGUUUCCUUGUAAUAGUUCAUAACAAGACCAGGAUUUUGCUCUUCUUCUGCAAAAACAGGACUCAGCAGGGACACUGCUGAAAAGGAUAAUAGAACCAAAAACAUGAAAACUCUUGGACCCAUUUCUCUCUCCUCUCACUACUAACUAUGCUCACUCACCUACUUUACUCCCCUCUCUGCUACUUCUUAAAUAACCAAAUACCGCAGUAUCAAGAUAAAUGUGCUACCAGUCAAAUAUUCAAAAUGCAACUUGGUGUAUAGCGGUAACCAACCCAUUGCAGAAUGUUUAUUUUAGUUAUUAAAACAACGAAAAUUAUGGAAAUUAUCAAAUGAUAAUCAAAAUAUCACAUGUUCAAUUCAUUGUAAGCGAGGAUAACAACAGAAUUCGAAAAAGAUUAGUUAUUUAUCCUAAUAAAAAAUAUGGAAUUAUGGCUUUUAGAAUUUAAAUAGUUGCUGUUAGUGAAGGAAAAUAUAUAGUUACUGAAAUUGUGCAUAAGAAACAAUAACCCAGAAGGUUAUUUAUCAAAAAAUACAGUAACUUAACAAGAACUCAAAAAGUUACACCAAAAAACAUGAUAAAAUAGUUUUUUUGGGUACACUUCUAAUACUUCUUUUGUUCAUACGUAACUAACUUUACAUAGAAAUAAAAUUGGCCAUUUUGGGACCUUUUGUAAAUUUAGAGCUUCCGAGUUUCAGUUAAUGAAAUAUAAGUUUUGGAAUUUUCGAUUUUUAUCAAACGCUCACAGUGAUAGACAACGAAAUUUUACCGAUUAGUUACUUACUGGCCAUUAUAUAAGAAGUUUUGUUAUCCUAAUUUUGGGUUGAAAAAGAUGGGAAGUGGUGGGGUAGAAGCACUUACGGGAAAUGCUGAAAUUUAAUUUAGUUAUGCUCAUUUAUUAUUGAGUGUAACAUCUGGAAAAAAAUGUGAAUACUCAUUUAUUAUUGAGUGUAACAUCUAUACACGUGUCAAAGAUAGUGCAAACUUUUUGACUAAAAAAUGUAUACUAACCAUGUAAAAGUACAUCAUGCACAAUUCAUUUUUAUUGAUGAUUGACUUUUAAAUAUGAAUAUAUUUUUUUUACCUCUCUAUAUUGUUUGGAUGGAUGCCCCACCACUAUAUGUUUGCUUACGUGUUCUGAUAAGAAAGGCCUUCGGGUCUGGAAUGGAGUCGGGCACUUCUUAAGCAUGUGAGGAACAUGGUCUGGGUUGAUAACUGGGUCAACCUCUGGGUAUAAACGGUGCACCAACUUCACACAGUGUGUUCUACCAACACUGUGUGCUCCUGUUCAACACAACAAGAUCAAUAAUUAUGUAAGUUAAAAACUAUAAUUAAGACAUGUAUCAUGUAUGUAUAUGUUAUAAUGUUACACAUGUUAGUAUGUAUAAUGAAUCAUGUCAUGUUGACCCCACAUGUAUUUAUUGAAAGAGAAUAUGAUGGAUAAACUUUGGCAUUUUAAUCAAGGCCAUUCACGUGGGUAUGGGACGUUUUUGAAUUCAUGGCCAUCAUGAUAUUUUUUCAACGUCGACAAUACGGCACAAACAAACAACAUAAUUCAUGUCAACGGUGUUGCAGUGGGAAAGGAUCUCAUCACUGAAUCCAAUGACCAAUUUUAAUUUUUUAUAAUUAAUAUGACAUGUUUUUAUCAGUGCGGGAAUAGUAAUGAGCAGUUACCGAGCAAAGCAACAACGCCCGGGGUGUCAAUACCCAUGGCACCAAACUUGUGAAGAACAGAGGAAAUGGACUCAUUGUGGUCAGGGAGGUACUGUUCCACUACUUCAGCUCUGCUCCUUCUACCAUCCCUUCUUCCUGUUUUUAGAGCUAUAUGUGGACCUCCUAGCUGCAAGAAACAAACAUACCAAGUUAACAACACUCUUCAUUAACUAUAAUCUUAAGAUGGAUAAGGGAAUUACCGAA